GAUGAACGCUGGCGGCGUGCCUAAUACAUGCAAGUCGAGCGAACGGACGAGAAGCUUGCUUUUCUGAUGUUAGCGGCGGACGGGUGAGUAACACGUGGAUAACCUACCUAUAAGACUGGGAUAACUUCGGGAAACCGGAGCUAAUACCGGAUAAUAUUUUGAACCGCAUGGUUCAAAAGUGAAAGACGGUCUUGCUGUCACUUAUAGAUGGAUCCGCGCUGCAUUAGCUAGUUGGUAAGGUAGCGGCUUACCAAGGCAACGAUGCAUAGCCGACCUGAGAGGGGGAUCGGCCACACUGGAACUGAGACACGGUCCAGACGCCUACGGGAGGCAGCAGUAGGGAAUCUGCCGCAAAGGGCGAAAGCCUGACGGAGCAACGCCGCGUGAGUGAUGAAGGUCUUCGGAUCGUAAAACUCUGUUAUUAGGGAAGAACAUAUGUGUAAGUAACUGUGCACAUCUUGACGGUACCUAAUCAGAAAGCCACGGCUAACUACGUG
rnacentral:rRNA from 1 species